ACAGAGGAAGAGAAUAGCAGGUUUGAUUUAGAUCCUCCCUGUUCCACUCCAGUACCAGCCAUGCUGCCUGUAGUCCUGCUGCUGAUACUGUUGAGGUCUGCAACCUUUGUUCAUGGCCAGUCUCUGACCUCCUCUGGUCCAGUGGUGAAGAGACCUGGAGAGGCAGUCACUCUGUCCUGUACUGUUUCCGGGUUUUCCAUGAGCAGCUACAAUGUGAACUGGAUCCGUCAGAAACCAGGACAGGAACUGGAGUGGAUUGGGUAUAUUGGUACAUUUGCCCAGUCUCUCCAGGGCCAGUUCUCCAUCACCAAAGACAGCAACACAGUGCAUUUACAAGUGAAAAGCCUGAAAGCUGAGGACACAGCUGUUUAUUAUUGCGCUCGACAGCCACAGUCACACAUGAGACUACAGAGCUGUACAAAAACAUCUCAGGCAGUUUUGACUGAUUGAAGCACAAACGUUGUUGUGGCCUACGAGGCCUCUUCUUGUUGUUCCUUCUUGAGUCUACAGAGGGCAGUCUAGUCUCAACUCUCUCCUCUUCAGCCCUCUCUCUGAUAGAUUAUUUUUCACUAAAUCAUGGCUGCAUAUAAACCAGCAAAGGGGAUUAGAGUGAGUUUGAGGUGAAUUUAAAUACUGAUCUCCACUAAACCCUAUAAUGAUUGUGCUGUUUUGAAGAUUGGAUGUUAAAAUCUCAUA